GAUCCUGGCUCAGGAUGAACGCUGGCGGCGUGCUUAACACAUGCAAGUCGAGCGAAGCGCUUUGCUUUGAUUUCUUCGGGAUGAAGAGCUUGGUGACUGAGCGGCGGACGGGUGAGGUAACGCGUGGGUAACCUGCCUCAUACAGGGGGAUAACAGUUAGAAAUGACUGCUAAUACCGCAUAAGGCCACAGCACCGCAUGGUGCAGGGGUAAAAACUCCGGUGGUAUGAGAUGGACCCG
rnacentral:rRNA from 1 species